GUGAGGAAUAUUGGUCAAUGGGCGAAAGCCUGAACCAGCCAAGUAGCGUGCAGGACGACGGCCCUCUGGGUUGUAAACUGCUUUUAGUCGGGAAUAAAAUGCGGCACGUGUGCCGCUUUGCAUGUACCGUCAGAAAAAGGACCGGCUAAUUCCGUGCCAGCAGCCGCGGUAAUACGGAAGGUCCAGGCGUUAUCCGGAUUUAUUGGGUUUAAAGGGAGCGCAGGCGGACUUUUAAGUCAGCUGUUAAAUUCGGUGGCUCAACCAUCGCAUGCAGUUGAAACUGGAGGUCUUGAGUGUACACAGGGAUGCUGGAAUUCAUGGUGUAGCGGUGAAAUGCUCAGAUAUCAUGAAGAACUCCAAUCGCGAAGGCAGGCAUCCGGGGUACAACUGACGCUGAGGCUCGAAAGUGCGGGUAUCAAACAGGAUUAGAAACCCUAGUAGUCC
rnacentral:rRNA from 1 species